rnacentral:rRNA from 1 species
AAUGACCCCGUAACUUGAGGGUAAGGGGUGCAACCAUCCGGGGGUCGCAGAGAAUAGGACCAAGCGACUGUUUACCAAAAACAUAGGUGUCGGCUAAGUCGCAAGAAGAUGUAUAGGAGCUGACGCCUGCCCGGUGAUGGAAGGUUAAGGGGAUCUGAUAAAGCAAUCGAAGCAGAGAACUUAAGCCACAGUAGACGGCGGCCGUAACUAUA